rnacentral:lncRNA from 1 species
AAAAAUCGCCGAGCAGGCAAUUUCUUCGAUACGGGUGGUCUACUCCUUUGUUGCCGAGAGGAAAACAUUGGAGUUAUACUCCGGGGCCCUGGAAGAGAGUAUCAAAGUCGAUCGCAAGCAGGGACUGGCCAAAGGACUUACGCUGGGAUUCCAUGGACUACGAUAUGUCGUGUGGGCUUUAAUGACUUGGUAUGGAGGAAGUUUGGUAGCCAAGGGUCAAGCAAAUGGUGCUCAAAUACUCCUCGCGGGAUCUGCAUUUGUCGUGGGAAGCAUGUAAGUGUCUAUGCCAUGAAAACAUAGUUUCUUACAUUUUGGAUGCGGCUUUUGGCAGGGCAUUGGGCAGUAUACUCCAGAAUCUUAGAGAGAUCAAAGAUGGCCAGGCAGCGCUCUCC